UACCAGCACCCCGAGUGGUCGGGACGUUUAUUGGGCCUAAAGCAUCCGUAGCCGGUUCUACAAGUCUUCCGUUAAAUCCAGCUGCUUAACAGAUGGGCUGCGGAAGAUACUAUGGAGCUAGGAGGCGGGAGAGGCAAGCGGUACUCGAUGGGUAGGGGUAAAAUCCGUUGAUCCAUUGAAGACCACCAGUGGCGAAGGCGGCUUGCCAGAACGCGCUCGACGGUGAGGGAUGAAAGCUGGGGGAG
rnacentral:rRNA from 1 species